rnacentral:rRNA from 1 species
CCUACGGGUGACAGCAGUGAGGAAUAUUGGUCAAUGGACGAGAGUCUGAACCAGCCAAGUAGCGUGAAGGAUGAUUGCCCUAUGGGUUGUAAACUUCUUUUAUAUGGGAAUAAAACGUUCCACGUGUGGGAUUUUGUAUGUACCAUAUGAAUAAGGAUCGGCUAACUCCGUGCCAGCAGCCGCGGUAAUACGGAGGAUCCGAGCGUUAUCCGGAUUUAUUGGGUUUAAAGGGAGCGUAGGUGGAUUGUUAAGUCAGUUGUGAAAGUUUGCGGCUCAACCGUAAAAUUGCAGUUGAAACUGGCAGUCUUGAGUACAGUAGAGGUGGGCGGAAUUCGUGGUGUAGCGGUGAAAUGCUUAGAUAUCACGAAGAACUCCGAUUGCGAAGGCAGUUCACUGGACUGCAACUGACACUGAGGCUCGAAAGUGUGGGUAUCAAACAGGAUUAGAUACCCGAGUAGUC